rnacentral:lncRNA from 1 species
AGAAAAGCGGUCAACCCAGCCACGAUGCGAGCCAAAGGAUUCUUGGCUCCAAGCCUGGUCCUGGCUGUUAGUUUGGAACUCAUGCACCCAGAUGCUAACUCGCCCUCAGAAUGCAGAGGGGAUGAAACACUGACCGGACAAUUCAAUCUGUAUAUGGGUGAGUCCAGGGCUCAGUCUGCAUUGCGCGGAAAAUGAAGGUGAAGGUGGAGGUGGGACCUGAUGGUCUCGUCCCGGAUAGGGUUGAAGAAGUGGGAGAAAAGGAAUCAAAAUCGUGGAUGGGAUAAGAUUGUGCGCGAAUGCUCUCUGGGAGCGGAUCGUGGCCGACGAGGGCCCGAAGAUGCUGCCUUGUGAUCGCAGGUGUGAGUGGAAGCUGUGUGAGUGUCAAUGAGAUAAACUGGAGGGGAAGACGAAUGGCAGGAGGGUGAAGAGGAAACUGAAUUACUGUGCAAACACCCGCCACUCAAAUCCGGGUGGUUACUGCAGAGUGAAUAACGAUAGGUACUAUUUCGUGUAAGGCAAAGUCCUUUGAAAGGGCUCCUAGAGCGUCAAGGCCUCCACCUGAUGAAUGAAUGAGUCAGGCAGGCCCAGCUCCACUUCACGGAUGGGAAAACUGAGGUACGAGGCCUCGCUGAAAGAUGCGAGGCAGAGCGGAGAACCAGAAGCACCACUUCUCUCAGGCUGAUGCUCUAAUCUCGGCUCCCCCCGCCCCUACAAUGGCGUAGACGGCCUCCGCCGCCCGACUCACACACACCCUCCCCCGGGAACGGCAAGUCUCCUCGGGUUCCAAGGACAGGGUCAAAAGACAAGAGGCCCGAGGCGCUCCCGCCGUGAUUUGCAGCCAGAUACCGUUGGGAGCGCAGCCAGAGAGCGUUGGGAGCGUGCGUACCUCCAGCCCAACAUGGCGGCGGCAGCGGCCGCCCCCGACCCCAAGCCCUCCCUCAGGGCCCGAGGCUUCUCCUCAGGGCCUUCCGGUGGGCGGGAAGACAGCGCAACCCCGCCAGGCCUUUCUCGUCGCUGCGCCUGCUCGCUGAAGGAGUCACCUACCCGACGAGACUAACGGCUGCGGCGCGGAAGCCCCACAGCCCGCCGAGAACCAGGAAUACGAGAGCCAGGCGGCGCGGCGGCGGGACCUGUACUGAGCAAGAAAGAAGAUUUCAAAGUAAUUUAUUGUUAUGAGAUCCGUGCUUUUAUCUUGUCUCAGACUCCCAAUGAUAGGCACAUACUCUCCUCUGUACAUUUAAUGAAACUACUAAAAUAUUUCGAUUUAAAUCUUCCACCUAUUUGUUUUCUGUGUAUCCUACCUGUUCCCGACCUUGACAUUUUCAAAGAAUACAGGUUACUUAUUUUGUUUUUUGGUGGUGGUGAGUUUUUUUGGGGUUUUGUUUUUUGGUUUUUGGUUUUAUUUUUGGAGACAGGGCUUUGCUGUAUCGCCCAGGCUGGAAUACAGUGGCGCGAUGAUAGCUCACUGCAGCCUCGAACUCCUGGGCUCAAGGGACCCUCCUGCUUCAGCCUCCCGAGUAGCUGGGACUACAGGCCUGCGCCACCACGCCCGGGUAAUUUUUUAUUUUUUGUAGAGAUGGGGUGUUCUAUGUUGCCCAGUGUGGUCUCAAACUCUUGGGCUCAAGAGAUCCUCCCACUUCUGCUGCCCAAAGUGCUAGGAUUACAGGCAUGAGCCACCGCGCCGGGACAGUUAUUUUGUAGAGUGUUCUUUAAUUUGGAUGUACCUCAUCUUUUAUGUAUCUUUGGGAGGAAUACCACAUAACUCAUGUGGUUUAUCCCAUCGAGAGACACACAGUGUCAAUGUGUUCCAUUCUUGGUGAUGUUAACUUUUAUUACUUAGUGAAAAUAAUUCUAAGAGAUUUCACCACUGUAGAGUGAAUAAAUGAAUAUGUGGGAUUCAUCAAUGAAUAAGUAAAAGGAUGCCAACUGGCAAAAGAACUGAGUUGGGAGGAUGGCUUGAGCCUGGGAGGUCGAGGCUGCAGUGAGCCGUGAUGGCACCACUGCCCUCCAGCCUGGGUGACAAAGCAAGACCCCGUCUCAGAAAAAAUUAAAUAAAUAAAUAAAUACCCAGCACCUGAA